rnacentral:rRNA from 1 species
AGCAGAGCUUGCUCUGUGGAUCAGUGGCGAACGGGUGAGUAACACGUGAGCAACCUGCCCCGGACUCUGGGAUAAGCGCUGGAAACGGCGUCUAAUACUGGAUACGAGCUGCGACCGCAUGGUCAGCAGUUGGAAAGAUUUUUCGGUCUGGGAUGGGCUCACGGCCUAUCAGCUUGUUGGUGAGGUAAUGGCUCACCAAGGCGUCGACGGGUAGCCGGCCUGAGAGGGUGACCGGCCACACUGGGACUGAGACACGGCCCAGACUCCUACGGGAGGCAGCAGUGGGGAAUAUUGCACAAUGGGCGAAAGCCUGAUGCAGCAACGCCGCGUGAGGGAUGACGGCCUUCGGGUUGUAAACCUCUUUUAGCAGGGAAGAAGCGAGAGUGACGGUACCUGCAGAAAAAGCGCCGGCUAACUACGUGCCAGCAGCCGCGGUAAUACGUAGGGCGCAAGCGUUAUCCGGAAUUAUUGGGCGUAAAGAGCUCGUAGGCGGUUUGUCGCGUCUGCUGUGAAAUCCCGAGGCUCAACCUCGGGCCUGCAGUGGGUACGGGCAGACUAGAGUGCGGUAGGGGAGAUUGGAAUUCCUGGUGUAGCGGUGGAAUGCGCAGAUAUCAGGAGGAACACCGAUGGCGAAGGCAGAUCUCUGGGCCGUAACUGACGCUGAGGAGCGAAAGGGUGGGGAGCAAACAGGCUUAGAUAUCUUGGUAGUCCACCCCGUAACCGUUGGGAGCUAGUUGUGGGGUCCAU